GACAGAGGGUGCAAACGUUGUUCGGAAUUACUGGGCGUAAAGCGCGUGUAGGCGGCCCUGCAAGUCGGGUGUGAAAUCCCAUGGCCCAACUAUGGAAGUGCACUCGAAACUGCAGGGCUAGAGUCCUGGAGAGGAAGGUGGAAUGCUUGGUGUAGAGGUGAAAUUCGUAGAUAUCAAGCGGAACACCGGUGGCGAAGGCGGCCUUCUGGACAGUGACUGACGCUGAGACGCGAAAGCGUGGGGAGCAAACAGG
rnacentral:rRNA from 1 species